UACGUAGGGUGCGAGCGUUUAAUCGGAAUUACUGGGCGUAAAGCGUGCGCAGGCGGUUUUGUAAGCCAGAUGUGAAAUCCCCGGGCUUAACCUGGGAACUGCAUUUGAAACUGGCAGGCUUGAGUCUUGUAGAGGGGGGUAGAAUUCCAGGUGUAGCGGUGAAAUGCGUAGAGAUCUGGAGGAAUACCGGUGGCGAAGGCGGCCCCCUGGACAAGACUGACGCUCAGGUGCGAAAGCGGUGGG
rnacentral:rRNA from 1 species